rnacentral:misc_RNA from 1 species
GUGUCUUCAUACCAAACUGGAAUACCGGAUGUAAUAUCUUUGUUUGAUUUAUUUUUAUUUAGCAUCAUGACUUGAAACCACUAUGUAAUAAAUGGAUGGCCUUGCUUGUUUCACUUCUUACCAUAUGGAGGAUUUCAUUCUAUAUGCAUAUAUAUCUUGGGUUUGGUUUAUUUUUUUAUCCCAUAAAUAUUCUUAUUUUAAUGGCAAGUGCAUUUGCUGCAAAUGCCAUUUGCUUCCUCACUUUUGUUAUUUUAUGAUGUUGAAAUUUUAUGAUUGGUUUCUGC